GUAGCGGUGCCGCAGCACCCACACCUUUUGUUGUUUGUUCUCUCGCCAUUGCGUCGACAUGAGCGCCCCUCUUACGGAGCACAACCUCUUCAGUGCCCUCCGAGAGUACGCCUCUAGGCUGGAGGUGCAGUACAUGAUCGAGGAGGAGGUGAAGAAGUUCCAGGAGAAGGUGCUGCCGCGAGUCUUGUCCGAGGCCUUCGCGACUGCGUCUCAUGCGGCAGCGGCGGAAUCGACGGCAAGUGGCGAUGCAGCAGGAGCAGCGAGUCGAACGGUCUCCUCGUCACCGCUAUCCAAAACCGCAGCACCGUCGCACGCAACCGCCACCCCAAAUUCCGACUGGGUUCGAACGUUCCUCAAGGCACAUGUGGAUGACGUGCUCAGCCGACAGCUGCCCCCCAUGAUUGUGCGUGAAGUGCAGCAACAGCUGCGCAACGCUAAUGGGAGUGCACUGGCUCCAUCUUCGUCAUCUGGCUCUCCGCCGUGCGGCGAGUCGUCGGUACCGGCAGCGGCUGCUCGAGCACGUGCAGGCUUGCCGCCGCUCCCGCCUUCUCCGCGUUCAUCACGGUCACCACCAUGUGAAACGACCCCCGUGCCAGCAGGGAGGAUUACACCCGAACAUCGAGGGGGCGGCAACAGAGACUUGACCUUGCUGGCCUCUGCCGCCGAUGACGAGGGUCGCCGGCAGCGCAAACAGAUCCUCAACGCCAUCGCGGAUAUUGAGCAUCAACUACAAGGCGUGCAACGUGAACUCGACGAGGUGGUGCACCAGCAGCGGCUGUCCCGGUGCCGGUUCGAAUACCUUUGCGAGACACUCCACGGGACGGGCUUAUCUUCAGCUGCGGAGAGCACGCCGUCGUCGCUGUGCGUGGCACUGGAGCAGGCGCUGGAUGAUCGAAAGGCGGACGUGGUGCGAGCGCGUCUCGCAGCCAUGCUCCAGGGUCUGCUGCCACCGCCGGCCGAGCCGCACUCUGGGAAGGGGGCGGAGAUUCGCAAUGAGGCCGCCUUAACACGCGGUAGCUCGCCAUCGCUGGCACCGCAGGACGGGCGGCUGCUCUCUGCCUCUCUCGCCUCCGCUAAGUCCUAUGCCGUGCCGAGUUCCGGCCACAAUACCCCGCCGCAGCUGCUGGAUCGCUCCCCUUCAUGCCUGCGCGGUGACGCGCAGUCCUCACCUCUCGUCACCACUGGUGCGGUCGAAGCACCGCCGGCGCAGCCGCCGUACUCUUCAGGAAUGCCUCCUGUAAACUCGGCCCCCGCGUCUGCGCGCACCCUAACGUACGCCCGCCACGGCGAUGCGUCUGCGGCAGUUGCAGGCGCAGUUCGGCCCGCGGCUGCUGCUCUAUCGAGAGCGCACCGCUCCAUCACGACACGCGGUACCGCAGCGUCAGCCGCAGCCGCUAAAGUUGCAUCUCCACCGCCACCGCCGCCGCCGUCGGUGGUGACGACCAAUGAGACAGCACCACCCCCUUUACCUGUACUCCGCCAGAAGUCUCGUGCUCGGCCCGAUGCGGAUGGGGUAGUCUCGCGGCCGGCGCCUCUGCCACAGGCGUGUGCUGACCCGAGCAUGCGGGAGAGAGCUGCUAGGGACACGCACGCAACGACCUCGAUGCGAAUGGCGGACAGUUGUGCCACGGGCGCGACCACCACUGCCCCUACGGCAAACUGCACCGACCCUUCCAACGCCUGUUUCCGCAGUUCUCUAUACCACAGCGUAGCAUCCUCCUCCAUCACCUCUGUCGCAUCGCCGAGAGAGGCCGCCGCUGCUGGCGGGGCGCCCCGCGCGAUGGUGCUGGGCAUCGACGCUGUGGAUAUCCCCCCCGGCGUGCUACCCGGCGCACUAGGCCGACAAGGGGCAGUACGCGUGGAGUCUGUUACCCCGCUGCAACUGGCGGAGCGCGCCGGCGUGUGCCGCGGCGACGUUCUGCUUUCGGUGGCGAAUCGCCCUGUCGGCAGCUGCGAGCAGAUGCGGGCUGCGCUAGCAGCCGUGCGGGCGACGCAGACGCCGGUGACACUGGAAGUCUACCGGCACACGAUUCAAGAGAUCGUCUUCAUCACGCUGCAGAUGUAGGGCGACAGAUACAUACGUGCGCAUGUGCACUCUGUGUGUAUACAUGUGCGUGUGUGGUCGCCCAUCUGCUCAACAGUCCAGCACUGUAGCCGCCGCUGGCAGGGGAUGGAGGGUGAGCGGAGGCGCUGAGACCAGUUCGUUUCCUUGUUCGGAUUGACAGGCAUCAGGCCAUGCUUCCGCAGCAUCCGCCGACCUCCCUCUCCUCCUCUGCAUCCUUCCUCCACACGAGCGCACAAGCACUGACAUGUGUACGCGUGUCCGCGCACCGCAUAGAUGGCGUCCAGCGCAAAGAAGCUUCGCCAUUGCCCUUCCCCAUCGGGAGGUUUACAUCCUCAAGCGCCGCCGCAACACUGACGCACGCAAGAACACACACACACAUGCACACACACACACACACAUAUAACAAACGCCACAUAACAGCGGUGCCAAUGGUGAGCCAGCCUCGUGAGAUCAGCCAGUAUAUGAAGGCAAUGCGGCACAGGCGAUGGACCAUCCGCGUUACCAGACGCGGUAGUGUCUCCCUCGUCUACCUGUCUCUUUCCUUCUGCAUGGCCAAAUAACUGAGGCUGCUUCACUCUUCAUCAUCGCACCCCCGCAUCACUGCUGCCGCCAUUGUUCUCUCUCUCUGCUGCGCUUUCCGCCCUUUUCCACCUUGCACUGUUCUCUUCUCCCCCCCCCCUCUCCGUUGCUGCGCUGCGAUACAG
rnacentral:misc_RNA from 1 species